rnacentral:lncRNA from 1 species
GGGGUUGGGGGCGGGGCCUCCUGCCCCACGGCGCCGCCCCUGCCCCACACCUACCGGCCGCCCGCGGCUCCGGGCAGCGGCUGCGGCGUCCUCGGCGCCAGCGGGACCCUGCGGGGACAGGGGUCAGCCCCACGGCCGGCCCCAUAGCGCGACCCACGGCCCCACGGCCGGCCCCAUAACCCACUUCUGGACCGAUAACCCACGGCCGGCGCGACCCCCGGGGAGAACAGCACGGCCCCAUAGAGCCCAGCCCCAUAGAUUCCAACCCCACAGAUCCCAGCCCCAUAAGUUCCAGACCCACAAGUCCCAGACCCACAGAUUCCGACCCCACAACUCCCAGCCCCACAGCAAUAGGGCCCUGGGGCCCCAGCCCCCCAAGUGGGCCCCAUGGGCCCCCCAAGCAAGCGUCGCCCUCCUGCCCCACAAGCACACGGCGCCCCAUGGCUCUGCCCCACAGAUCCACCUGCCCCAUAGCCCGGGCUGUGCCCCCUAAGUGGGCUCAGCCCCACAGCUCUGCCCCACAGACACGCGGCGAGCGCCCCACAACUGCCACCGGCCACAGCCCCCACCCCAUGGCUCUGCCCCCCAAGUGGCAAAGACCCAGGGGGGGCAACAUCCAAUGGGCCCCAUAGAUCCCUGCCCCAUCAAUCCGCACCCAUAGAUCCGCGCCCUAUAGAUCCCUGAGCCCCAUAGAUCCCUGCCCCACAGAUCCCUGUAGAUACGCACCCCAUAUCCGGGCGCCCCAUAGAUCCGCGCACCCCAUAGCUGUGCGCCCCAUAGAUCUGCACCCUGUAGACCCAGGUGCCCCAGUGAUCCACACGCCCCAUAGAUCCCUGACC